rnacentral:rRNA from 1 species
GAUGAACGCUGGCGGCGUGCUUAACACAUGCAAGUCGAACGGAAAGGCUCCUGCUUGCAGGGGUACUCGAGUGGCGAACGGGUGAGUAACACGUGGGUGAUCUGCCCUGCACUUCGGGAUAAGCCUGGGAAACUGGGUCUAAUACCGGAUAGGACGAUGGUUUGGAUGCCAUUGUGGAAAGUUUUUCGGUGUGGGAUGAGCUCGCGGCCUAUCAGCUUGUUGGUGGGGUAAUGGCCUACCAAGGCGUCGACGGGUAGCCGGCCUGAGAGGGUGUACGGCCACAUUGGGACUGAGGUACGGCCCAGACUGCGACGGGAGGCAGCAGGGGGGAAUAUUGCACAAUGGGCGCAAGCCUGAUGCAGCGACGCCGCGUGGGGGAUGACGGCCUUCGGGUUGUAAACUCCUUUCGCUAGGGACGAAGCGCAAGUGACGGUACCUGGAGAAGAAGCACCGGCUAACUACGUG